rnacentral:rRNA from 1 species
AACGAACGCUGGCGGCAGGCCUAACACAUGCAAGUCGAGCGCGCCCUUCGGGGUGAGCGGCGGACGGGUGAGUAACGCGUGGGAACGUGCCCUUUUCUACGGAAUAGCCUCGGGAAACUGAGAGUAAUACCGUAUACGCCCUUUGGGGGAAAGAUUUAUCGGAAAAGGAUCGGCCCGCGUUGGAUUAGGUAGUUGGUGGGGUAAUGGCCUACCAAGCCGACGAUCCAUAGCUGGUUUGAGAGGAUGAUCAGCCACACUGGGACUGAGACAGGGCCCAGACUCCUACGGGAGGCAGCAGUGGGGAAUCUUAGACAAUGGGGGCAACCCUGAUCUAGCCAUGCCGCGUGAGUGAUGAAGGCCUUAGGGUUGUAAAGCUCUUUCAGCUGGGAAGAUAAUGACGGUACCAGCAGAAGAAGCCCCGGCUAACUCCGUG